AUACGGAGGAUGCAAGCGUUAUCCGGAUUUAUUGGGUUUAAAGGGUGCGUAGGCUGUGCGUUAAGUCAGGGGUGAAAUGCCGUCGCUCAACGACGGAGCUGCCCUUGAUACUGGCGUGCUGGAGUACGGAUGCCGUUGGAGGAAUGAGUGGUGUAGCGGUGAAAUGCUUAGAUAUCACUCAGUACACCGAUUGCGAAGGCAUCUGACGAAUCCGUCACUGACGCUGAGGCACGAAAGCGUGGGGAUAGAACAGGAUUAGAUACCCUGGUAUUCCACGCCGUAAACGAUGAUGACUAACCGUCGGCGAUAGACAGCCGGUGGCCAAGCGAAAGCGAUAAGUCAUCCACCUGGGGAGUACGUCGGCAACGAUGAAACUCAAAUGAAUUGGCGGGG
rnacentral:rRNA from 1 species